GACGAACGCUGGCGGCGUGCUUAACACAUGCAAGUCGAACGGAAAGGCGCUGCUUUUGUGGGGUGCUCGAGUGGCGAACGGGUGAGUAACACGUGAGUAACCUGCACUUGACUUUGGGAUAACUUCAGGAAACUGGGGCUAAUACCGGAUAUGAGCUCCUGAUGCAUGUUGGGGGUUGGAAAGUUUCGGCGGUAUGGGAUGGACUCGCGGGUUAUCAGCUUGUUGGUGGGGUAGGGGCUUACCAAGGCUUUGAAGGGUAGCCGGCCUUAGGGGGUGACCGGCCACAUUGGGACUGAGGUAGGGCCCAGACUCCUACGGGAGGCAGCAGUGGGGAGUAUGACACAAUGGGCGGAAGUCUGAUGCAGCAACGCCGCGUGCGGGAUGACGGCCUUCGGGUUGUAAACCGCUUUCGCCUGUGACGAAGCGUGAGUGACGGUAAUGGGUAAAGAAGCACCGGCUAACUACGUG
rnacentral:rRNA from 1 species